AACGAACGCUGGCGGCAUGCCUAACACAUGCAAGUCGAACGAGACCGUCGGGUCUAGUGGCGCACGGGGGCGUAAGGCGGGGGAACCUGCCCUUAGGUGCCGGAUCACUGCCCGAAAGGGGUCCUAAUACUGGCUAAUGUCUCCUGCCAAAAGGUGUAUCGCCCUUGGUUGGGCCCGCGUUGGAUUGGAUGGUUCGUAGGGUAAAAGCUUACGAAGGCGGCGAUACAUAGCUGGUCUGAGAGGAUGAUCAGACACACUGGGGAUGAGCCACAGCCCAGAAUCCUACGCGAGGCAGCAGUGGGUGAUAUAGGAAAGUGGGCGGAAGGAUGAUCCAGCUAGGCCGGUAAAGUGCUGAAGGCCGUAGGGAAGAAAAGCCCUUUUAUCCGGGAUGGUAAUGACGGUACCGGAAGAAUAAGCUCCGGCUAACUCCGUG
rnacentral:rRNA from 1 species